GUGCCAGCCGCCGCGGUAAUACGAAUGGGGCAAGCGUUGUUCGGAUUUACUGGGCGUAAAGCGGGCGUAGGCGGCCGGCUAAGUCGGAUGUGAAAUCCCGGGGCUCACCUCCGGAACUGCAUUCGCUACUGGUCGGCUAGAGUUUGAGAGGGGGAUGCGGAAUUCCGCGUGUAGCAGUGAAAUGCUUAGAUAUGCGGAGGAACACCUGAGGCGAAGGCGGCAUCCUGGAUCGACACUGACGCUGAGGCCCGAAAGCGUGGGGAGCAAACAGGAUUAGGUACCCUGGUAGUCCACGCCCUAAACGAGGUCUACUAGCCGUUGCGGGUAUCGACCCCUGCAGUGGCGCAGCUAACGCGAUAAGUAGACCGCCUGGGGAGUACGGCCGCAAGGUUAAAACUCAAAUGAAUUGACGGGG
rnacentral:rRNA from 1 species